rnacentral:lncRNA from 1 species
UUGAUACCUUUCUUGAUUAAUGACAGGUCUCUGAUAGUUGUCGAUAAUUGGAAUUUCUUGGUCGACGACCUAGAAAUGCUUCCAGAUGCAUUAAAUGGCAGUAGAAUUAUUUUGACCACUUGCGAAACAAAGCUACCUCCAAAUCUCAAAAUGAAGAGUGAUCCUCACCCACUGCGGUUACGGACAGAUGAGGAGAGUUGGGCAUUGUUUACCCAUGCUUUGAAAUUUAGCAUACCCCCAGAAUUGCUAAAGCUGAAAGACGAAAUUGCAAAAAGAUGUGGGGGACUGCCACUGCUGAUUGUAAAAUUGGCGGAAGCACUCUCACAUAAGGAUGCAACCAUUGAGGAGUGGUCCACUGCACUUCAACAAUUUCAUCAUGACCAACAGCAACUUUGGCCCAAUACCCUCUACAAGAUCCAUAAGGAUUUGUCCUUGUACAUGAGGAGAUGUCUAUUUUAUUUCACUUUAUUUCCUCAAGAUUUUGAUAUUCCGGCAAGAAGAUUGAUAACAUUAUGGGUUGCAGAGGACUUGGUACAGCCAGAGGGCGAGAAUGAAACUCCAGAAGAUGUUGCAGAAAGGUGUUUGAAUUUGUUGAUAGCCCAGGGAAUGGUUCAAGUGACAAAGAAGAAGCUUAAUGGGAAUGUUAAAAUGGUGCGAUUGCCAGAAGCCCUAAGACAAUAUUGGUCAUCCAAAGCUCAACAAGCCACAUUUCUUGGAGUUCAUACUAACACAAGAUCUGAGUUGUCCCUAGGCACCAAAAAGAUCCGUCGUCUGGUUGAUCAUCUUGACAAAGAAGAUAUCAGCUUUGACCAUAUUCAUGGUAAUCACAACACAACUUCUAGUACUUCUUUGACACCUUAUUACGAAGAUGUACUUUCUUUUCUGUCCUUUGAUACUCGAAAAGAAAGCAAACCAGGGGAAGAAGUGGGAAACUUUCUUCGUCAAAGCAUAUCCAGUGGUUGCUUCCUAGUACUGCUCGUGCUUGAUCUCGAAAAUGUAUUCAGACCAAAGUUACCUGAGGCAAUGGGCAAACUUACUCGACUAAGGUACCUUGGCUUAAGAUCUACAUUCCUCGAGAUACUUCCAUCAUCUAUAAGCAAGUUGCAGAAUGUUCAAACACUGGACAUGAAGCAUACUUGCAUCAACACUCUUCCUAAUUCAAUCUGGAAUCUACAACAAUUGCGACACUUACACUUGAGUGAGAGUUGUCGAAGUAAACUUAUCCUUCAACAUGAUACAAAUUUUCCUACAAUCCUCCAAACAUUGUGUGGGCUUCUUGUAGAUGAGGAGACUCCCGUAAGAGAUGGCCUAGACAGGUUACUCGAUAUUAGGAAAUUGGGAUUGACAAUAUCAUCUAAACAAGAGGCAAUAACAUUGCAACUGCAGGCAGUAGUUGACUGGGUUCUAAAACUGAACCAACUCUGGUCUUUAAGGCUCAAAUCUAUUGAUGAAAGCAAUCAGCCAUGGGAUCUAGAGUUGAAGCCUUUAGUAAGCCUUGUGAAUCUUUCUUACAUUUACUUGCUCGGACGGUUAAGGAAUCCAUCCAUUAUGUCCCAAUUCCCAUACAGCCUCAUCGACCUCACCUUAUCAGGGUCAGGACUUGUAGAAGAUCCAAUGCAGUCACUGGAUAAGCUUCCCAACCUUAGAAGUCUUAAAUUGCUUGCCAAAUCUUAUUUAGGGAAGAACAUGCUUUGCUCUUUAGGAGGCUUUCCUCAGCUUCGAGUUCUUAAACUAUGGAAGUUAGAGCAACUGGAGCAAUGGAAUGUAGAGAAAGGAGCACUACAAGCUCUCCGAGAUUUGGAGAUUAGGUUCUGCAGAAGUCUGAAAAUUCUACCUGCAGAAUUGCUGCAUAGAACUCUCUUGAAAAUUGAAGUUAUAGCUGCCCAGUAAGUUCACUACUUCAUCUCUUGAAAUUUGGUUUAUAACCUACUUUAACAUGAGAUGAUUGCUUUGUGUAACAAACAACCUGAUAUGCCAUUGUGUUUUCUUUCUUUCUUUCUUUCUUUCUUUUUGUUUGAUUAGGGUGUGAGAAGCUAAGCAAGAAGGUUCUGGUCUACUUCUUCGUGUUGGGCUUUGCUUUCCAUCUCAAUUUUUUUGCUGUUGGAGCAGAUAUUCAAAUCCUCAUGAGGGCAGUUCUCAGUUGCAACAAUUUACAGAGCUCAUUUUUUUGAAUUGGGUUUCCAUCCCUUCUGCUCAUUAUUCUGUUCUACCAUUGAUGCUAUGUUUUUGUCUUUCAAACCUUAAAUGCAUACUGUAUUGUACUUGUUAGUAGAUUCUAUAACUAGUGUUUGUGAACUGUAGAAUCAGGGCAUCAUGAACACAAUGGUGUUGUGGGUGUGAAUGUUAUAGAAUUUUGCUUUGUGAUUGUAUUUGGAUUGAAUGGAGUAUUUUUUUCUUUCAGUUGACGUUUAUCGGAUAGAAUUUAACCAGUCUGCUGGAAUGCACAUAGAGGGAAAAUAACUAUUCUCCUCUUGCCCAGAUGGAUGAAGGAAAGUAAGAUUAAUCCUCCACCUUUCUGUAGCUUAUUUUGUAAGUGUAUUAGAUUCAAAGUCUUCAAAUACGUUAUAUUAAUAUAUCAAAGAAAUACUUCCUGUUGCUCACAAGCUCAGAUCAGAGCCCACCAUGGCUUGCAUGGCCGCUUACAUGCCCUGCCCAUUCCAAUAGUUAGUCCAUUUAGUCCAAAUACAAUCUCAAAGCUUACACCCUUUCCUUUUUUUCAAUUUAGAAGAGCCUACCACUACAGAUUUGGACAUUGGAUCAUACAAUAUAAUUAUGGGGCAAUAGUUACAACACCCAUUUGAAAUGGGAUUCAUCCACCUCCAAACCAAAGCUGCUGGUUAUUGAAGGAGAAGAACAGAGAGUUUCUCUAACAACCUCCAUCCAAUGCUUCCUGACAUGAGAUAUCUAUCUCUGUCCUGCUUCCUUAACUUCAAUCUGUUCCAUCUGCUUCUUCUUCUUUUGGUAUGGUCAGUAUGGGGGUUCUGGAAAUGAACAGCAGAGCUUUCACCCAAGUGAGACAUUUGGUUUUGGAAUCAUACAUUUAGCUUGUGGUUUGGGUGUUUGAAACAGGGCAAUUAAAAUACAGUUUCCAGAAUGCCAGAAAAAUUUAAGGCCUAAAUUCAUGGACAAGUAUAGGUCAGAAACUAUUGAGCUUUAAGAUUUCACAGGGAAAGAGUAAUAUUACUGGCAACUGCAAUACGUCAUUCUGAUAUAGCUGCAGGAAGCAGCCUUUCCUGCACUACAGCCAUUCUGCAUGAGGCUUACUACUUUUUCAGCACUUUCAAGCACUUAAUUGGAGCUCUCCUUCAUUCUUUUUCCAAAAUAUGCCUUGGGAGUUUUUCCAGGAGAGGAAGUACAUAACAGCUAGAAACCAAGCUGUACAUCCUCAUCAAAAGCAAGACACUCCUGAAUUAUUUUUUGGGAAUCCCAAUUAUAUAAACACUGGUUCUCUAUUUAGGUUAUGUACAGACUUGUUAGCAGCCUUAGGUGGAGACUUUCAGGAUCUUAGUGUAUGUUUGGUCAUUUCCAAGGCAAACAUAUGCUAAAAUUUCAAAUUGUCAAAAGACAAUAACUUUUGUAAAUGUCUCUUCCAAUCCAAAACAGAUACUGAAACACUGCAAAGUUCUUCCAUUCAAAUCAUUUCUCUAUCAUUUAAUUAUUCUCCUCUCGAAUUGUUAAUUGGAAAUGUACAUGAACCUGAAUUUGUCUUAUCUUUCUGUCCUCCUUCAUUUUGGGAUUAAUUGCAAAACAACUGUAUUUCACAUGUUCUGGUCCUGUAUCCAGCACCAUUAUGACCAGUCUAUCUCUUCAGUGUCCAAAAUACAAGGGAAAUUUCUAAAACACAAAGAGGCAGAGAAAGGAUCUUAAUGUUGGUUCAUUCAGACCUCCCAAAAUUCUUCUUGCCCUCUCAUGUGCUGCUGAUUUGAGUAUGAAGUAAUUAUCAUAAGUCAUGUUCAUUAAUUUCAGUACGAAUCCAUAAAGCCUAUGAACCCCAGUACACAAUUUACUUCUGAUCCAUUGAAGCUGUUCUUCAACUUCAAACAAAGCUUCUGGUUCUCAAAGAAGCAGAAAAGACCCUCACUCUGUCACCCUCCAUAUAACACACUCUGCUUCCUACAUCAUCAUUCCGAACAUCUGUCUGUCUGUAUGGUCCUUAGGGAAGUGAACAAGAAAGUUUUCACAAAAUAGAGCCUUUGGUUUUAGUACCACAAAGUUUAGGUUGUGAAUGAAACAAGAGCAAUAGAAAUAGAGUUAAACAAAAUGUCAGCAAGAUUGACCUUGAUUACUUGAUUGUUGCCUGCAAGCACAUGGAUUAUACUCUGCCUUCUUAGCCAUGCAAGGGCUAAGCUGCUUGCAAUUUAAGACUGUUAAUAAAACUUGAAGGGAAUGAGAAUGUCCUAGUUGAUAAGGUGAUGUAGGACAAAAGACCAUUUUACUUUCCUUAUUAACAAUAUAUAUAUAUAUAUUGGAUUCUUUUGCCUAGGACAAAAGAGAACUGCAACACAAAAUACAAUAGACAUCCAAUUGUUGAUGAUCAAUUAUCAAAGGAGAGAAUUACAACCUUGUUUAGCAUUCGACAAGCUGAGCUCAAAUUUAUUUCUUUAAGCUUGGUUAGAGGUUGUGUCCUCAACUAUAGACUGUAUCUGAAGAAUAUGAUAUUGUGAGUUAAAAAAAAUUUAAUCCCAAAAAAAUAACAUAUAUUAUCUGCUUCCCACAGCUCCGAAGCUAUCAUGUCUGCUGAACAAUCAGAGUAUGAUUAAUUGCAAUACCAAGCAAAGGAAGACCUCUACUCUGAUAAUAAGGAAGACUAAAGCUUUUCAAGCCCUUUGUCUCCACCCUUUAGCAAGGGCCCAUUGGUGACAGUGAUACAAGAAACAACAAUAAUUGUAUCAUUUGCAUGAUGCUUUCCACUUUUUCAACGCUUUCAAGUGCUUAUUUAUAGAUCUAAUUAUAAGAUUUUAAGACUUGCAAAAACAAGCAAUCCCUUAUUCUGAAUAAAUCUUGGGAGGAGGCUUUCAGAGUGAUUGAGGUUGACCUUGCAUUCAUGUAAAAAUUUUCAAAACCCAAUUUAAUCCACCCAUCUAUUUGGUGAAAAGAAAAACUCUCAUUUCAAUGCCUAUUUGGAGUAUUUGUCAUUUGAAGGAGAGUACCGGCUGUGAAACAUAAAAUGUGUGAUAUGCUUAACAUGACAUAUAGAAAGUGUUUGGCAAGAAAAUGUGAAUUAUAUGACAUACCUUGCCACCAUGUACUUAACAUUGAAGGUUACAUUAAAUUUGAAACGAAUCAUUUAAACCAUAACAUUAACAAAUACAACCACAAUAUUUCUGAAUAUGGAGGUGACAAACUAUCCAUUCUGAGACGUUAAAGGAUGCCAAAAAUUAAUAACAAGUCGUGAUGGCUGUGAGACAUUGGAGUAAUUUGCAGUCAUUGACAUUAUUGUAUCAUCCAUUUUAAGAAUAAUGUAGUUGAAAGUUAUCAAAUAUUCAAGCAAUCACACAAAAUAAGCUUUGGCUAGAGAAAGUCUCAGACAAUACUAAAAUUCAAAAAUAAGUUAUUGCAACCAAAUGUUACAACAAGAAAACACUAUUCAGCGUCUGUCUCCUCUGUCAUCAUAAUAAAUAUUAUGCUCUAUUACGUCUUUGUUAAAUUAAGUUCAAAAGUUACAUCCAGAGAAAUGAUGGUGUAAUUCAUCUUAUCUAGAUAUGUUUUAACAAUACCUUCCAUUUACAUCAUUACCAAAGUUAAGACAAAUCAUAUUUUCUUGCAUUAGCUUUUGGGAAUCCACAAUAAUAAACACAAGUUCUCUCUUUAGACUAUGUCUAGGCUCGUUGGUGGCCUUCUGUGGGGCCUUUCUAGAUCUUCGUAUAUAUUUGGUCCAUCUCCGAGACAAGCUUAGGCUGACAUUUAAAAUUGUCAAAAGUCAAAACAACUUUCCUAAAGGUCUCUCUUCCAAUUCCCUUUUAGGUUGUUUCCUUCUAUUAAUGAAUAUCCCAAUGGCAUCCAAAGCAGAUACAUAAACACUAAAAAGCUCACCCAUUUAAAUCAUUCUUUUAUCAUCUAAUUCUUCUAACUUUUCACUCUUAAUCAAUCCUUUAAACAACUUAAUUUUUUUCCCAUAAUAGGACUAUUUUGGCCCAAAACUGUAUUUUAGCCCCCUGUAACUUUCUGAAAGAAGGAAAAACAAAUCAAAGAAAAAUAAACAAAAAUCGACAAGCCCUCUAUAAAAGACCUAACAAUAACAAAGGGAAGGAUCUUCAUAAACAAAACUAAGAAAGAAUUGCAAGAAGUUGAUUACUUGAGCAACUUCACCAACCAAAGUUGUUGAUUCCCCAAGGAGCAGAAUAGAAAGUUUACCUAUCACCCUAUGAUAACCCGACUCUUGGUAGCUUGGCAUGUAAGGGUAUCAACAAAAUUUAUACCUAAGGUCCUUACACUAAAGUAGCAAAGCUACUAUAGCAUAGUGGCUCUAGGAUCGAACACUGGGAAGGGUUUUUACUUUAACUGGUGAAGUUCGGAGGAUGGAGUGAACUUUUCUUAAUAAAAAUAAGGUUAAGAUGAAAACAUAAAAAGAUAAAGGUGUUGUAAACUAAACUAACUUGAAAAUAGGUUAAAUGAUGGAAAAAGAAGUUUCUCAAAGCUUUGGAUAGCCAUGCUUAACUCACUGUGUAAAAAUGGAGAUUUUGGAACUUUUCACCUCGAGUUGGGGAAGCAACUAAGGUGAUGCUUACUUCCCGAACCGGUAUGUGUUUAACAACUGAGUUUUAGUCCUUCAAAACUUACAAAAAGGGUAGCUGAACCUCAUAAAUGCUCUUUUAAUGAUAUAGGUCNNNNNNNNNNNNNNNNNNNNNNNNNNNNNNNNNNNNNNNNNNNNNNNNNNNNNNNNNNNNNNNNNNNNNNNNNNNNNNNNNNNNNNNNNNNNNNNNNNNNUUAAGUAACUUAAUUUUUUUCCCAUAAUAGGGCUAUUUUGGCCCUAAACUGCAUUUUAGCCCCCUGUAACUUUAUGAAAGAAGCAAAAGCAAAUGAAAGAAAAAUAAACAAAAACUGACAAGCCCUCUAUAAAAGACCUAACAAAGGGAGGAUCUUCAUAAAAAUCACAUAAACAAAACUAAGAAAAAAUUGCAAGAAGUUGAUUACUUGAGCAACUUCACCAACCAAAGCUGUUGAAUAUUCCCCAAGGAGCAGAAUAGAAAGUUUCCCUAUCACCCUAUGUACAAUGCUCUCCAUAACAAGUCUUUUAUACCAGUUCUGCUUCACCAUUAUAAAACUGUCAUAAUCCGUUUUCUUCUUCUUCGGGUAUACUCAGUGGGGAUUCUGGAAAUGAACACCAAAGCUUUCUCACUUGUGAAGCAUUUUGGUUUUGGAACAACAAAUUUAGCUUUUGGCACUGGUGAAUGAAACAAGGCAUUUAAACUAUAUAUACAGUUUACAGAAUGCUAGCAUAUAUUAAGGCCUAAAUGACAAAAUAUAGCCCUCGAUUACUCAGAUGAGGUUAAAUUUUGUGUGUCAAUUUCUUUUCUAAUCUCACAUUUCAAGAAACUUAACAGAGAAUUAAAUAGGCUAGAAAAUGGAUGCUUGCUCUGGGCCAAGACAAGUUCUCAGAUUGUGCAUGGCUGCUUUGUGACAAAACUCAGGAGCCUUCACUACUUGCCACCCCAAUGGAUUAUUCCUUUAAUUUACAGUUUGCUGCUUGACUGCAGGGUAAGGUGAGGGGUCGUCCCUUAUAUGUUGUUGGUCCUUGGUUCUUCUAUUGCAGAAACAAAUAUCUAUAUAUAUAGAGAGAAACAAAUAUAUAUAUAUAUUGAGAGAGAGAGAGAGAGAGAGGAAGAGCAAAAUCAUUUUUCCUAGAGAGUUUCACAAAAUCUUGGGAUACCAUAGAAGAAACAAAGGCAAAAACUAUGUUAAUUUUGGUGAUCAAAUGGUUGGUAGCUGAUGAUACGAUUGAGAAAACCAUGGCAUAUGUUAUCAUCAAACAUUAUGGAAAAGGAGAAGGAACAAUUUGGGAGUGUAAAUAUUAAUCCACACACUUGAGAAUUACAUAUUUUAAAUUUUUCUUUGAAAUUUAGCUUUAAAAUAUGUUAUUCUCAGGUGCAAAGUGUAAAACUAGUAUUUAUAAGCUAGAUUUUCUUUUGCCGAAACUAAAUUAUGAUAUGUUUAUUUCAUUUUGUGAUUCUCCUAUGGACUUUCUUAUUAUUUUAGGGUAGAAAAAUAUUUUUCUUUUCUUACAAUAGGAGGUCAAGUUCAUAUAUUUAGUAACUAUGUACAUGAUUUAAUAUAGUGAAUAAAAAUAAAUUCUUUCUUUCAAGAUAGUGUUUGUUUGUUUUUUUACUUAAGUGUAAAUAGAACUUAAGAUUAAACUGUACUUAAUACUUAACAAUAUUAAAUUAUUUGUUAUUUUUUAAUAUAUUCUAUAAAUAUUAAGAAGUAAAAAAAAAAAAAAAACAAGACCAAUACUCACUUUAGUUAUGGUAAUUCACUUUUAGCAUUCAAAAAAACCAAAUAUUUAUUUUUUUCAUUUAAUAAAGAAAUUUAAGAAAUAAGUAAUAAAUCAUUAAAAAAAAAUUUAAAAAUAUAUCAUUUGAAAUCUACAAAUGAGUUACUUUCAACAAAAAAUUUAAAAAACAAACAUCUCCUUAGUUUAUGGAAAGGUUAUGAAUUUGAAUAUUAUUGCACUUUAAUACUCUUGUAUAUUUAUUUAGAAGGUGUAUUGAGUGUUACAUAUUACCAAGCUUUAAAUUUAAGCUUAAUAUAUUUUUUAUAUAUAAUUAAACCAUUGCGUGAUGGUUUAAUUUUUUUUUAAUAAAUUGCAAGAGUACAAGAAAUUAGUGACUUAAACAUAAUUUGUUCUCUUGAAAUGUUGAAGUAGAGAGAGAAUUAUUGAGAAACAGUGGUUUGACUUUUUCAUUGAGUAAGAAUGAAUAUAUAUAUACACAAACCUAAAACACAAAAAUAGAAAACAAUCUACCCAAAAUACAAAAAUAUGAAACAAUCCUAGAAUUAGAAUUAGAGAAUUACAAAAAAAAUAGGAAGUUACAACUAAUUACAAGAAUUUGAAAACAUAAAGAAAUUCUAUUGUAAUGAAUUCUCUAAUAUGCCCCCUCAAGAUGGAGCUCCGGAGGAGACGCUAAUCUUGACCUAUAAUUCUUGGAAGUGGCUUCAUGCAAGCGGUUUAGUAAGAGCGUCGACAAGUUGAUUUGCUGAGGAAAUUGGAUGACGACUAAGAUAGACAAUAUAAACACUUUGUAUUGAAGAGUAACCAAGAAAAACACAAGGAGUGGAACAAGAGUCAAGUUUAUGUUAAGAAUAAGGACGAAACCAUGGAUAACAUAAGCAACCAAACACCUCAAGUUUAGUGUAGUUGGGUGGAGACUCAAAGAGUUUGUCAAAAUGAGAUAAGAAAUGUAGUAUGGGUGUGGGCAUACGGUUGAUGAGAUAUGCAGCAGUGGCAAAGGUGUAAGUUCAAUAAGUUAGAAAGCCCUUGGUACACCGCUGUAAUUGUUCCUUCAAUUGUUUAAUAUGACCACGAGAUGGUUUGGCAUAAGUAUUGGCUAAGGUUUGUCAUGCAUCAAGGGAAGUGGUGGUGCGAGCAAUAAGUGGUUGUAGUGAAACGGAGAUAGCACCAAGGAGAGUGCUAAAGAUGAGAUGAUCCUGACGCUUCCAGGUUGUGUAUGUCGGAUUUGGGGAUGCAACACCAGUGACGGUGAUGGUGACGAUGGGUGGUGGUGGAGUAUGAGCACCAUCAAUGAAGUUAUGAAGAUCAUAACCUUCAAGAAGAGAUUGGAUUUGAAGGCUCCAUGUGAGAUAAUUGGUGGAUGACAAUUUGGUGAUAUUGGAGUGAUUGAUUGUAAGGAGGGGAUGUUGACGAUCUUGGGAGUUUUGGAUGGUGAUAGGAUCGUUGGUGGAAGAGAAGGAUGCACUGGAAGCCAUUGAGGAGAAGGGAAAAAAAAGUAAGAAAAUACACCCAAGAAGAUUAGGCUCAGAUACCAUGUUGAAGUAGAGAGAGAAUUAUUGAGAAACAAUGGUUUGACUUUUUCAUUGAGUAAGAAUGAAUAUAAAUACACAAACCUAAAACACAAAAAUAGAAAACAAUCUACCCAAAACACAAAAAUAUGAAACAAUCCUAGAAUUAGAAUUAGGGAAUUACAAAAAAUAGGAAGUUACAACUAAUUACAAGAAUUUGAAAAUAGAAAUAAAUUCUAUUGUAAUGAAUUCUCUACUAUGAGAUGUUAUAAUGGUGUUGCAAUCUAAUUUGCGCAUAAUCAUUCCCUAGUUUCUAACUAUAAAAUUUUCUUCGAUUGUGCAAGAGGAUGAGGAACGUAAUUUGUGUGAGGUGAGGUUAAGCAAAAUUUCCCAUUAGUUUAUUGGACAUUCCAAGAUGAUUUUCAUCACUUUCCUCUUGUUUAUGAUCAACAUGGCCCUGCACAAUCAAAAAGUAAAUAGUCAUUGGAUAAAAUAUAUAAAAAAAAUGACUAAUAAAAAGCUAAGUGUUUGUGUGGAUAUACUUCCUAUUUUAUAUUUUUAAAAACAAAAAAUAAUAUUAUUAUUUUCAAAGUGUUCUUGUGAAUAAUGUUUCUAAGAAAAGUUUAAUGCACUAAUAUAUAAUUGAUGUAAAAAAAAAAAUUGAAUUACAAAUAUAUUGCAUAAAAAUCAGUUAAGAUAAAUAAGUAUAUGUCUUUUAUUUGGCUUGUUAAGUAAUUUGUGGACAUGACCCGAGUUAUGAAUCAUAUAAGUCAUUCCUUGAUCAAUGUGGAAUAUAUUACUCUUCUUGAUAUCCUUUCUAAUACUCUUUAUAUCAGCUCUCAUAUUUUUCAUAUCACUUUUCAUAUAUGAUCUCUCACAUUUUUUUGUAUUUAUUGUCACAUUUUAUUUAUACUCAUUCUUAUAUUCUUUAUACUCCCUCUCACAUUUCAUAUACCUAUUUUUAUAUUCUUUGUAUCUCUUCUUACUUUUUUCACACCUUUUAUUAUAAGAUUCAAUCGUCUCUCACAUUCUUCAUAUUUUGACUUAUAUUCUUUGUAAAUCAUCUCAUCACAGUCUUAAUUUUUAUUUUCAUAUUUUUUAUACAUUCUUUCACAUUCUUUAUACACUUACAAAAACUAUUAAUGGUUGCAUAUUCAAAUAUUAUUUGACAUCAAACUUUUACUUAUUGAAUUUAUAUUUAUAUGUAUAUAUAAAAAAAAAAAAUAGAGUUGAAACCACAUGGUUGCUUUCUUUCAAUAUCUUCAUAAAGAAACACAAAUCUCUUAUUUCUAUAUUUUCUUCAAGAGAUACAAAAUUUGAUCUUAAAAUUUAAUUGAUAAAUUUUAUACAUGUAUUGCAACAAGGUGUUUUGAAUUUUAUACUUUGUCCAAGAAACUCACUACCAUUGUGGAGACAUUUAAUUUGUUUGUUUAUGUUGACUCUUUGUGUUACAAGUCUUUCCGAAAUUUAAUGCAAAAUUUAAUGGAUAUUUUGCAUUUCUUCCCCCAUUGGUUUAGUUUCUAUAUGCUUUUGAAAAGCAAAAUCCACAUCUCUUGAUAAUUAUUAAGAUAUGUUUCUGUUCCUUUCCCCGCAGAAAAAAGCUGCAUGAAUACUUUACAAGGAAGGAAAGGGAGGAGGUGUGGAGGAUGAUGGCAGAGGGUAGAAAUGAAGAAGCUAAGGAGAUGCGGCAUAGAAACUCGCCGUUGAAGAUGAACGACACAAUAAAUUGGGCGGAGGUACACGACACACGAGAUUUGGCGAAGAUCGUCUUGUCGAGGGUCAUAGAGAAACUCUAUGUUGUGCGGAUUCAAGAACCGGCAGUUUUGGUUGGAGUUGAAGAAGAUGUCCAGUGGAUCCAAAGGAAGUUGAUGCGUGUUCGGGUUAAACCUGAAUAUUCCCCUGAGGAAUUAAUGGACGUUGCCUAUGAUUUGGAAGAUGUGAUUGAUGACCUUAUACUCAGGUCAGCCGGAAAGCAAAGCAGAAUAGGAAAUUGGGAGAGUUGCCUUUUGAUAAUCAGAAUUCAUAAGAAGCUGGAAUUGGUAAAGUCUAAGAUCCCUGCUCUACCUCGUCUCCCGAUCAUGAUAUCAAGAGGUGCCAACCAUGAUAACUACUUUGAAGAAAGGGUCUGGUCAGACAUCUUCUUGAUACACCAUCGGAGUGUGGCAAACACAAUUGUUUCCCCAGUGGAACAGAAGGUAUCAGCUCUGCUAGCUCAGGAGGUAAUUCAUCCCCAUACUAAGAAGAAAGUCAUGCGGGUGCUAGACAAAUUCAGGUCUCUGAAUGAUUUUCUGGCAGGCUUACAAUCAGUGGAAUUAGACGCUUGCGGAAUGGUUUGGAUGGAGGAGUUGUCCCAUGUUGCCCUGUCUGCUGUGACUGCCAUUGAGGACUUCAUCAAUAAAAAAGAAGAGUUCACAAAAAGAAGUUGGAUGAGACCUUCCAGGGGAUUUCUUUUUGCUUUUGGCAAAUUGAAAUCUGAGGAUAAGCUUGCUAUGGAGAUGGACAAAAUAUAUGCUAAGAUCCAGAACCUCUCUAUGCACAGACCAACAGAAUUCAGUAGACAAAGUCAAAGUAGCGACACAGAGUCCACCGUGCGAAUCUCACCACAGCCAACGAUGCAAGAACCUAAUCUCGCCAGCUUCACUGAUGAUGUACAUGCAAUGGUAAAACGGUUGCUUACAGAUGACAAGAGUUUCAGAGUGAUUCCAAUUAUGGGUAUGGAAGGCAUUGGAAAGACGACCCUUGCAAAGUUGAUCUUUAACAAUAAAGAUGUUCUAAACCAUUUUCCUUUUGGUGUUUGGACGUCUGAUGGCUAUGAAUUUCACCUACGUGACAAGGAGAAAUUGAUGGACUCCAACCUAAGUCAACUAGGAGAUGUGUGGAAUUAUCAUGUUGAGUUACAACGGCUGAAAGCUUUCUUAAUUGAUAAAAGGUCUCUUAUAGUUCUGGAUGAUACUCAUAUCCUAUUCUUAGACCAUGUGUUAAGAAUACUUGCAGAAUCAUCAAACGGAAGUAGAAUGAUUUUGACUACUCACAAAAUCAGUUUACCACCAAAUUUCCGAACGAUGAGUGAUCCUCACCUACUGCGAUUACGAGGAGAUGAGGAGAGUUGGGCAUUGUUUACCCAUGCUUUGAAAAAGAGCAUACCCCCGGAAUUGCUAAAGCUGAAAGACAAAUCGUAAGAAGUGUGGGGGGUCUGCCACUGCUGAUUGUAAAAUUGGCAGAGCACUCUCACACAAGAUGCAACAUUGNNNNNNNNNNNNNNNNNNNNNNNNNNNNNNNNNNNNNNNNNNNNNNNNNNNNNNNNNNNNNNNNNNNNNNNNNNNNNNNNNNNNNNNNNNNNNNNNNNNNCCCAGGGAAUGGUUCAAGUGACAAGAGAAGCUUAAUGGGAAUGUUAAAAUGGUGGCGAUUGCCGGAUGCCUCAGACAAUAUUGGUUAUCCAAAGCUCAACAAGCCACAUUUCUUGGAAUUCAUACUGACACAAGAUCUGAGUUGUCCCUAGGCACCAGCAGGAUCCGUCGUCUUGUUGAUCAUCUUGACAAAGAAGAUGUAAGCUUUGAUCAUAUUCAUAGUGAUUACAACACAACUACUUCUUUGGCACCUUACUAUGAAGAUGUGCUUUCUUUUAUAUCCUUUGAUACUCGAAAAGAAAGCCAACCAGGAGAAGACGUGGGAAACUUUCCUCGUCAAAGCAUAUCCAGUGGUUGCUUCCUAGUACUGCUCGUGCUUGAUCUUGAAAAUGUAUUCAGACCGAAGUUACCUGAGGCAAUUGGCAAACUCACUCGACUAAGGUACUUUGGCUUAAGAUCUACAUUUCUCGAGAUACUCCCAUCAUCUAUAAGCAAGUUGCAGAAUGUUCAAACACUGGACAUGAAGCAUACUAGCAUCAACACUCUGCCUGAUUCAAUCUGGAAGCUACAACAAUUGCGGCACUUAUUCUUGAGUGAGAGCUACCAAAGUAAACUUAUGCUUGGACAGGGUACCAAUUUUCCUACAAUCCUCCAGACAUUGUGUGGGCUAUUUGUAGAUGAGGAGACCCCGGUAAGGUAUGGCCUAGACAGGUUACUCAAUAUUAGGAAAUUGGGAUUAACAAUGUCAUCUAAACAAGAGGCAAUGUCAUUGCAACUGCAGGCAGUAGUUGACUGGGUUCUAAAACAGAAACAACUCCGGUCUUUAAGGCUCAAAUCUAUUGAUGAAAACAAUCAGCCUUGGGAUCUAGAAUUGAAGCCUUUAGUAAGCCUUGUGAAUCUUUCUUACAUUUACUUGCUCGGACGGUUAAGGAAUCCAUCUAUUAUUUCCCAAUUCCCAUACAGCCUAUCGACCUCACCUUAUCAGCUUCAGGACUUGUAGAAGAUCCAAUGCAGUCAUUGGGUAGGCUUCCCAACCUUAGAAGUCUUAAAUUGCUCGCCAAAUCUUAUUUAGGGAAGAACAUGCUUUGCUCUUUUGGAGGCUUUCCUCAGCUUCGAGUUCUUAAACUAUGGAAGUUAGAGCAACUGGAGGAAUGGAAUGUAGAGAAAGGAGCAUUACAAGCUCUCCGAGAUCUGGAGAUUAGGUUCUGCAGAAGUCUAAAAAUUCUUCCUGCAGAAUUGCUACAUAGAACUCUGUGGAAAAUUGAAGUUAUACCUGCCCAGUAAGUUCACUACUAGACUCUUGAAAAUUGGUUUAUGACCUGCUUAACAUGAGAUGAUUUCCUAAUGUAACCAACAACCUGAUACACCAUUGUGUUUUUCCUUUUUUGUUUUGUUUGAUUAGGACGUGAGAAGCUAUGCAAGAAGGUUCUGGUCUACUUCUUCGUGUUGGGCUUUGCUUUCCAUUUCAAUGUUUUUGCUAUUGGAGCAGAUAUUCAAAUACUCAUGAGGGCAGUUCUCAGUUGCAACAAUUUAUAGAGCUCAUUUCAAAAUGGGUUUCCAUCCCUUCUGCUCAUUAUUCUGUUCCACCUUGUCUUUCAAACCUUAAACGUAUACUGUAGUGUACUUGUUAGUAGAUUCUGUAACUUGUGUGUGUGAACUGUUGAAUCAGGGUAUCAUAAACACAAUGAUGUUGUGGAUGUGAAUGUUAUAGAAUUUGCUUUGUGAUUGUAUUUGGAUUGAAUAGAGUAAUUUCCUCUUUCAGUUGAAGAUGUUUAUUGGAUAGAAUUUAACUAGUCUGCUGAAAUGCAUAUACCGAGAAAAUAACAUGUAUCACUAUUCUUUUCUUGCCCAGAUGGGUGAAGGAGAGUGCGAUUAAUCCUCCAUCUUCGUUAGAAAUCAUAAUACUAAUAUGUUAAAGAGUUUAGAAUAUUCCUAUUUGUAGCUUAUUUUUGAAAGUGUAUUGUGUUCAAAGUCUUGAAAUAAGUUAUAUUUAUAUAUCAAAUUAAUGCAUCCUGCUGCUAACAAACUCAAAUCAGAACCUACCAUCACCUGCAUGGCUGCUUACAUGCUCUGCCCAAUCUACUGGCUUACACCUUUUUUUUUCCUUUUAAAUUAAGAAGAUUUGGGAGUUAGAUCAUGCCAUAUAACUAUGGAGCAAUUGUUAUAGCACCCAUUUGAAAAGGGAUUCAUCCACCUAAAGCUCUUCAACUCCAACCCAAGCUGCUGGUUAUUGAAGGAGAAGAACAGAGAGUUUCACCAACAACCUCCAUCCAGUGCUUACUGACAUGAGAUAUCUAUCUCUGUCUUGCUUCCUCAACUUCAACCUCUUACAUUCCAUCUGUUUCCUCUUCUUCUUUUGGGGCGGUCAGUGUGGAUUCUAGAAAUGAACAGCAGAGCUUUCACCCAAGUGAGACAUUUGGGUUUGGAACCAUAAAUUAGCUUGUGGUUUGGGUGUUUGAAGACAGGGCAAUUAAAAUACCGUUUCCAGAAUGCCAGCAAAAUUUAAGGCCUAAAUUCCUGGAUAAGCUUUGAGCUUGAAGAUUUCACUGGGGAACAGUGAUAUGACCGGUAACUGCAAUAGGUAAUUCUGAUAUAGCUGCAGGAAACAGCCUUUCUUGCACUGCAGCCAUUCCGCAUGAGGCUUACUUCUUUUCCAGCACUUUCAAGCACAAAUUGCAGCUGUCCUUCAUUCUUUUUUCAGAAUAUGCCUUGGGAGUUUCUUCAAGAGAGGAAGUACAUAACAGUUAGAAACCAAGCUGCGUAACAUUGUUAGUGAAAGGAAAUAGAACUAAUCAGGGAUCUUUUAUGCCUGCAGGAUUGCUAGAGACAGAGGAUCAUUGGGAGUGUGCGCAGAAAUGGGAGAUGAUGAGUCGUGUUUGUGGAGAAGCUAUCUUAUUCUGCAAGACAGGGUUGACCAGAUCAAGAUACCAAGUAGCUCAGAUAAGGUGAAGAGCUGCUCACUUAUGUUUGCCUUCGCUGAUUUUGAUAGAAAUGAAUGUCCAAUCUUUUCAUCUUAUCUUCUUUUCAUCUUUUAUUAGAUCUGACGCCCAUUUCCACCAUUUGUGUCUUACAGGUUUUUAUUCAUUAAUUCAAGGAUUAUUGCUAUAGCUUUUGGAAUUGUGUUUGAUAUCCUACUUGGAUUUUCACAUUACGCACAUGAACUAAUUGAUAAAAAUUUCUAUGCUUUCCUAAAUAUAUACGUUCACAGAGAAAAUGCUACCUACAGAUCAACUUACCAAUUCGUCUCUGUUGUUUAUAAUGAUAAAGAUGUUUGGUAUUUUAGGAGAUAAAUGGAGAUCUUCCCAAAAAGCUUGAGAAAAUCUGGGAACCCUGUGAUAUGAUUUUACUGAGCCUAAAGUUGUCAUCAUCUUGUUGAGCAAGGAGAGAAAAUGUAUAUGGACAAGAUAGGUCAGAGUCAUCAUUUAGCUCCCUUAUUGAUUGGGCUGCGACAAGUGUCUUGCCCUUGGUGACCCAGACAUCAUUUGAUUCUAUUCAUCCAAACAAAAUGAUCAUUUCAAGAUCUCCUGCAGCCUAUUCCAUUUGUUCAACACUUUCAACUGCAAUACCAGCCUAUCGAAAAAAUCUUUCAGAGGAGGCUUUUACAGUGGUUAAGGUUGAGCUUGCGUUGGUUUACAUUUUUGUGAACUCCUACACCUGUUUGUAAAGAAAUCUCACUCCAAUGCGUAUUUGGAGUAUACUCAUUUGGAGUGUUGUUAGCCAAGAAACUAUACUGAAAUGUAAAAUUUGUGGUAUGCUUAGCACGACAUAUAGAAUGUGUUUUCGAAAAAAAAUGAAUUGUGUGAUAUGCCUGCCACCAUUAAUUACUUAAUAUUGAAGGUUACUUUAAAUUUGAAAAAAUCAUUGAACUGUAAGAUUAACAAAUAUAACAGCAAUACUUCUGAACAUGAUGAAGCCGAGGAAGCAUGCAUUCUGGGAUAUUGGAGGAUGCCAAAAAUUAAUAUCACUGUGGAUUAGUUUGCAAUUGCCAAUAUUAGUGCAUUAUCCAUGUUGGAAGCGUUGAAGAAGGUUGUCAAAGUAUAGAGUCAUGUUACCAAUACCCUCCCUGUAUAUCCUCAUCAAAACCAAACAUAGAAUCAUGGUCUUGAAUUAGCUUUUGGGAAACCUGAUAAUGAAAACACUUAGCUAUCUAUUUAGGCUAUUUCUAGGUUUGAUGCUGACCUCUGUUGAUAUUUCCAAGAUCUUAGUGUUUAUUUAGUCCAUCACCAAGUGAAGCUUAUGCUGAAAUUUCAAGUUGUCAAAAACCAAAAUAACUUUUUAAAAUGUCUCCAAUUACUUUUUAAGUCGCUCACAUGAAAUAACCACAUAACAUCCAAAGCUGAUACUAAAAUACUGCCAAGUUCUUCCAUUCAAAUCAGUCCUUUAUCAUCUAAUUCUUCUCUUCUGACUCCUUAAUUGAAAAUGUUUAUGAACCUGAAUUUGUCUCAUAUAUGUCAGGCCUUCUUCAUUUUGGGAUAAAUUGAAUCAUGGACUAGCAAGUGUAUUGCCCGUGCUCUGAUAUUGUAUCCAGCUCCAGUAUGACCGAUCUAUGUCUUCAAUGUCCACAAUACAAGUGGCAACUUUUAAAAUGCAAAGAGAAAGAGCAAGGAUCUUAACCUUAUUUUUGCUUUAUUGAAUUCAAUUUGAUCCGAAAAAUCAUGAUUGAACAAAGCGGAUCUCCCAAACUUCUUCUGUCUCAUGUGCUGCUGAUUUGAGUAUAAGGUAAUCAUCAUAGGUCAGGUCCAUUAAUUUCAGUAUAAAUUCAUAAAGCCUAUGAACCUCAAUACGCAAUUUGCUUUCGAUCCAUUGAAGAGUCCAUGAAACUCUACCAGAGGCGUCACUACAAAACCAUUACCCAUUUCCCAUGCACCUUACCUUUGUCAUGCGAAAACAAAACCUUUCCUUUCCAGAGGCAUCUGUUUGUUUAUGUUGACUCCUUGUGUUACAAGUCUUUCAAAAAGAGUCUACCAGUAUUCCUCCUAGAAAAAGGAUAGAAGCAGUUCAUCGUCUUUGAUAGAGAAAAAGAAAAAGAAAAAGGAACUGGUGGUAUUAGGCAGUCAAUACGUGGUGGUUGCUGUAAGUUGGCUUUCAGAGAAAAAUAUAUAUAUACAUAGAGAGGAAAGGAGGUCAAGGAGGAUUGUUCUUAGAAAGAGAAAAUAAAGGUAAUAAUGAAGAAGAUGCAGCAUGCAAACUCUAAGUUGAAGAUGAAGGUCAUAAUGGAGAACUACAGUCUUGGAUGAAGAUAGUAUUUUCCAGGGUUAAAAAAAAUCAGUUUUCCUUUUAAUAAUUCCUACAACCAAAGGUGAUUGGCAAGUCAAUUUUUUUAAAACUACUAUUCAUAAAAAUAAAAACUAAGUUGAUGUUACAAAUACUUUUCCUAUUUUAAUUUUGUAAAAAAUUUGUAAAUUUAAUUUAUAAAAUAUUAAUUUAAUUUAAUUCAAAAUUAUAAAUUACAUUUAAAAUAAAUAUUUUUAGUAAAAUUUAAAUACAAAUAUUUUAAUAAAAUCACAUAUUAUAUUGUUCAUAUAAAUGAUAUUAGUUUAGCAUAUAUUAUAAAAAUAUGGAUAAAUUGAAUUCUUUUCCAAAUAAAUAAUUAUAAUAAUUUAAAAUUAAUUAUGAUUAAUAAUAUUUUAUUUAAAAUAAAUUUUAAAACAAAAAAUUAUUUAAUUUUUUUCAUAUAUAAAUAAACCAAUUUCUUUAGUUACAUAUACACCUUUAAUACUUAAUUAUAAAGAGAGUAUUCAGAACUAUUUUUUAUUUAAUAUGCAAUUAUUCAUAUCAAUUUUUAAUUAAAUUAUUUUUAAGAAUUAAAAGAUUCAUUAAAUAAUUUAAAGCAUUGAAUCUCAAUUGAUUUAGAAUCUAUUUAUUUAGUGAGAAAAUUUUAAAAAAUAUAAUUGUUUAUAUACAAUAAAUAAUAAAGUCAUAACUCAUUAUGGAUUAGUUUUGAUAUAUUAUAUUUGAUAGUGAUUGGAUAUAUAUCUGAGUUCCAAAUUAUUUUUCAAAAUUAUUCAACUCCUUAAUAAUUUCAAUACAUUAAAUCUCACUUAAUUUAAACUCGUUAAUGAAUCAAACACAUUAAAACUUUUUUAUUUGGAGUUUUUUUGCCUUAGUUAAAAAAGAAAUUUACAAAAAUAUCGUUAUACAUAAAAGAAAAAACUAACAAAAUCAUUGGGAAUAAAUUUCUAAUAUUAAUUAGGCUCACCUUUAAAAUCCAUAACUUUCUAGUACUAACUGAAUUAGUUUUUUAGUUUAAUAAAUGUUAUGUAUCAAAUAUCACUAGAUUUGAAAUUUAUUUGCUUAAUCAAAAUAAUUUAAAGAUCCAAGUUAAAAGAAGUUUACAACUACGUAUGUUUAAGAAAACAAAUCAUCUUUGAAAAUUUUUUAUAUUUGAUGAUGGAGAGAGAAUAAAUAUAAAAUAAAGUGUCAUAAUUUAUUUGUUUUUGUGAUUUCUUUUCAUGUUAUUUUUCAUUUCUCAUAUUUUUCUUUAAAACAAACAGGUAAAAAUAACUUUUACUUAAUCUCUCAAAUUGUUCUUUAUUUCACUUUAUUUUUAAAAAUUACUUUUAAAGAACAACUACCAAACCACUCAUAAAUUUUUAACAACAAAAAAUUGUUUUUAAAUCAUUUCAUCAACCGAGCCAUUGUAUGUUCCCUUUUUUUUUCUUGUACUUCACCUUCUUAAUUUUAUUAUGGUUAUAUUUAAAUGGAAUCAAAAUAUGCAAUAAAUAAAAUAUAAGAGCAUUAAAUAAAGUAAAAUGAUCAAAGGAUGAAAAUAAAAAUAAGAAAAAGGAAAACCAAAAAUAAAAAUAAAAUAAUAAUGGUAAUAAUAAAAAAAAAUGUAUAUUCACAAAAACAAAAUUAGAAGUCUACAAUUCUCCUCCGGUCAACCCAUGAAAAAUCACACAAUGCAAGGAUCAAGGAUCUAUUGCUUGUCAAUGUUAACUAAUUGUUAAUAAACAAAAAUUAGUAACCAUCAAACCUUAGGAGGACUCAUAAAUUUAACUUAUACCUUUAUAUACAUCAUCAAUUCACCUAAUAAAUUAACAAUUUUAAAUCAAUUCACUUAAUAAAUUAACAAUUUUAAAUAAACUGAUAUUUUUAGUAUGAGAUUCAAAUAUAGAAAAAUAUUUCAACUUCAAUUGGAAUAUUUUUUAAAAAAAAGAAAAAAAAACUGCUCCAUAUAAUUGUACAUAACUCGUGUAUCUAAUGUUUACCUCUUCAACAAGGUGUGUUGAGUUUUAUACAGAGGAUUACAUAUAUUGCACCAGCUUCUUUAAUGUCCAAGAAACUCACUACCCAUUUCCCACCUUAUCUCUCUCAUGUGGAAACAAAACCUUUCGACAUCGGAGACAUUUGUUUAUUUAAGUUGACUCCCUUGUGUUACAAGUCUUUCAAAAAGAACUAGCCUACCUGUGUUCCUCUUAGAAAAAUGGUGGAAGCAGUCCACUGCCUCUCAUAGACAAAAAGAAAAAGAAAAAGAAACUGAUGGUAUUGGGUGGUCAAUAUGUGGUGGUCACGGUAAGUUGGCUUUCAGAGGAAAAUACAUAUAUAGAGAGAGGAAAGGAGAAAAGACGUCAAGGGGGGAAUGUUCUUAGAAAGAGAAGAUGAAGGUGGUGAGUAUGAAUUGGGUUGGAAAUUAAAAAUAAAAAUGAGUAUUUAAAGUGAAAAGGAAGGACAAAAUGAUCAGGGAAAGACUUAGUUUUACUUGUUAGUUCCCAGAUUUCCUUGCAAUUGUGAGUUUGUUACUAAGGUCGCCUCCACUCAGUCCUUUGCUGUUCGCGACCGGCUUCAUCUUGGCAGUAUGAAAUGGCUAUUGGGUUUCGUCGGGGGCAUGGUCGCCUACAGCCUCCUGUAAGAACAAUGAAAUUUUAACAAGUCUGCAAUAUCAUCUCCCCUUUUAUUAAAUAUUUAUGCGUUAAUAAUCAUUUUGGUAGUUGUUUAGUUUUAUUCAUCAUCCUCCAGCAUUAUAUUGACAUUUUGCCUGAGUUUUUUCUUCUUUGUUUUUUCCCUUGGUUUAGUUUAUAUGUUCUUGUUCGCAUUGAAAAGAAAAAUCCACACGUCUAGAUAAUUAUUAAGAUAUGUUUUAAUUAAGAUUUGUGUGAAUGCCUUUCUGUUCCUUUCCCCGCAGGAAAAUGCUGGCUGCAUACUCUACAAGGAAGCAAAGGGACGAGGCGUGGAGGAUGAUGGCAGAGGGUAGAAAUGAAGAAGCUAGGGAGAUGCGGCAUAGAAACUCUACGAUGAAGAUGAACGACACACCAGACUGGGACACUAUAGAUCGGGCGGAGGUAGAUGACUCACGAGAUUUGGUGAAGAUAGUCUUGUCGAGGGUCAUAGAGAAACCAAGUGUUGUGAGGAUUCAAGAACCAGCAGUUUUCGCUGGAGUUGAAGAGGAGGUCCAAUGGAUCCAAAGAGAGUUGAUGCACGCUCGGCUAACAUAUAGUUAUGUCCCAGAACAAUUAAUGGAUGUUGCCUAUGAUUUUGAAGAUGUGAUUGAUGACCUUAUACUCAGAUCAGCCGCAAAGCAAAGGAGAAUAGGAAACUGGAAGAGGUGGCUUUUGUUAAUAAGAAUUCACAUGAAGCUGGAAUUGAUCAUGUCUAAGAUCCCCGCUCUUCCUCAUCUCCCAUAUUUUAUGGAAGCACAUAGUGCCUGCCCUUUUAACUACAGUAUUGAAGAAAUAGUCUGGUCAGACAUCUCCUUGAUACAUGGUCAGAGUGUGGCAAACACGGCUGUUUCCCCAGUGGAAGAGAAGGUAUCAGCUCUGCUAACUCAGGAGGCAAUUCAUCCCUAUACCAAGAAGAAGGCCAUGCGGGUACUAGACAAACUCAGGUCUCUGAAUGGUUUUCUCAAAGGCUUAGAAUCAGUAGAAUUAAAUGAUGGUGGAAUGGUUUGGAUGGAGGAGCUGUCCCAUGUUUGCCUGUCUGCUGUGAUAGCCAUUGAGGACUUCAUCAACAGAACAGAACAGCACACAAAAAGAAGUUGGAUGGGACCUUCCAAGGGAUUUCUUUUGGCUUUUGGCAAAUUCAAAUCUCAGGAUAAGCUUGCUGUGGAGAUGGACAAAAUAUAUGCCAAGAUCCAAAACCUCUCUAUCCACCGGCCAACAGCAGUCAACCCACAAGGUCAAAGUAGGAACCCAAAGUCUACCUUGGGUUCUACCGCCCGAAUCCCACGACAGCCAACAACGCAAGAACCUGAUCUCGCCAGCUUUGAUGAUGAUGUUCAUGCAAUGAUAGCACGGUUGCUUACAGAUGAUGAGAGUUUCACAGUGAUUCCAAUUAUGGGUAUGCAAGGCAUUGGAAAGACAACCCUAGCAAAUUUGAUCUUUAACCAUAAAGCUGUUCUGGAUCAUUUCCCCAUUGCUCUUAGGAGGUCAGAUGGCUGUCGACUUCAGCUUCGUAACAAGGAAGAAUUGAUGGAGUCCGAUCUAAGUCAAUUGGGAGAUGUGUGGAGUUAUGAUGACGAGAUGCAACGGCUGAAAGCUUUCUUGAUUAAUAACAGGUCUCUCACAGUUCUAGAUGAUUCGCAUCUCUUGUACGACAUGCUAGAAGUGCUUCCAGAUACAUUAAAUGGCAGUAGAAUGAUUUUGACUACUUGCGAAACAAUCCUACCUCCAAAUCUCAAAAUGAAGAGUGAUCCUCACCAACUGCGGUUACGGACAGAUGAGGAGAGUUGGGCAUUGUUUACCCAUGCCUUGAAAUUUAGGAUACCCCCAGAAUUGCUAAAGCUGAAAGACGAAAUUGCAAAAAGAUGUGGGGGGCUGCCACUGCUGAUUGUAAAAUUGGCAGAAGCACUCUCACACAAGGAUGCAACCCUUGAGGAGUGGUCCACUGCACUUCAACAAUUUCAUCAUGACCAACAGCAACUUUGGCCCAGUACCCUCUACAAGAUCCAUAAGGAUUUGUCCUUGUACAUGAGGAGAUGUCUAUUUUAUUUCACUCUAUUUCCUCAAGAUUUUGAUAUUCCGGCAAGAAGAUUGAUAACAUUGUGGGUUGCAGAGGACUUGGUACAGCCAGAGGGCGAGAAUGAAACUCCAGAAGAUGUUGCAGAAAGGUGUUUGAAUUUGUUGAUAGCCCAGGGAAUGGUUCAAGUGACAAAGAAGAAGCUUAAUGGGAAUGUUAAAAUGGUGCGAUUGCCCGAAGCCCUAAGACAAUAUUGGUCAUCCAAAGCUCAACAAGCCACAUUUCUUGGAGUUCAUACUAACACAAGAUCUGACUUGUCCCUAGGCACCAAUAAGAUCCGUCGUCUUGUUGAUCAUCUUGACAAAGAAGAUAUCAGCUUUGACCAUAUUCAUGGUAAUAACAACACAACUUCUAGUACUUCUUUGACACCUUAUUACGGAGAUGUACUUUCUUUUCUGUCCUUUGAUACUCGAAAAGAAAGCAAACCAGGAGAAGAAGUGGGAAACUUUCUUCGUCAAAGCAUAUCUAGCGGUUGCUUCCUAGUACUGCUCGUGCUUGAUCUCGAAAAUGUAUUCAGACCAAAGUUACCUGAGGCAAUUGGCAAACUAACUCGAUUAAGGUACCUUGGCUUAAGAUCUACAUUCCUCGAGAUACUUCCAUCAUCUUUAAGCAAGUUGCAGAAUGUUCAAACACUGGACAUGAAGCAUACUUGCAUCAACACUCUUCCUAAUUCAAUCUGGAAGCUACAACAAUUGCGACACUUACACUUGAGUGAGAGUUGUCGAAGUAAACUUAUGCUUCGACAUGAUACAAAUUUUCCUACAAUUCUCCAAACAUUGUGUGGGCUUCUUGUAGAUGAGGAGACUCCCGUAAGAGAUGGCCUAGACAGGUUACUCAAUAUUAGGAAAUUGGGAUUGACAAUAUCAUCUAAACAAGAGGCAAUAACAUUGCAACUGCAGGCAGUAGUUGACUGGGUUCUAAAACUGAACCAACUCCGGUCUUUAAGGCUCAAAUCUAUUGAUGAAAGCAAUCAGCCAUGGGAUCUAGAAUUGAAGCCUUUAGUAACCCUUGUGAAUCUUUCUUACAUUUACUUGCUAGGACGGUUAAGGAAUCCAUCCAUUAUGACCCAAUUCCCAUACAACCUCAUUGACCUCACCUUAUCAGGGUCAGGGCUUGUAGAAGAUCCAAUGCAGUCACUGGAUAAGCUUCCCAAUCUUAGAAGUCUUAAAUUGCUUGCCAAAUCUUAUUUAGGGAAGAACAUGCUUUGCUCUUUAGGAGGCUUUCCUCAGCUUCGAGUUCUUAAACUAUGGAAGUUAGAGCAACUGGAGGAAUGGAAUGUAGAGAAAGGAGCACUGCAAGCUCUCCGAGAUUUGGAGAUUAGGUUCUGCAGAAAUCUGAAAAAUCUUCCUGCAGAAUUGCUACAUAGAACUCUCUUGAAAAUUGAAAUUAUAUCUGACCAGUAAGUUCACUACUUCAUCUCUUGAAAUUUGGUUCAUAACCUACUUUAACAUGAGAUGAUUGUUUUGUUUAACAAACAACCUGAUAUGCCAUUGUGUUUUCUUUCUUUCUUUUUUUUUUUUUUUUUGUUUGAUUAGGGUGUGAGAAGGUAAGCGAGAAGGUUCUGGUCUACUUCUUCGUGUUGGGCUUUGCUUUCCAUUUCAAUGUUUUUGCUGUUGGAGCAGAUAUUCAAAUACUCAUGAGGGCCGUUCUCAGUUGCAACAAUUUAUAGAGCUCAUUUUUUUUAAUUGGGUUUCCAUCCCUUCUGCUCAUUAUUCUGUUCUACCAUUGAUGCUAUGUUCUUGUCUUUCAAACCUUAAAUGCAUACUGUAUUGUACUUGUUAGUAGAUUCUAUAACUAGUGUUUGUGAACUGUAGAAUCAGGGCACCAUGAACACAAUGGUGUUGUGGGUGUGAAUGUUAUAGAAUUUUGCUUUGUGAUUGUAUUUGGAUUGAAUAGAGUUUUUUUUUUCUUUCAGUUGAUGUUUGUUGGAUAGAAUUUAACCAGUCUGCUGGAAUGCACAUAGGGAGAAAAUAACUAUUCUCUUCUUGCCCAGAUGGAUGAAGGAGAGUAAGAUUAAUCCUCCACCUUUCUGUAGCUUAUUUUGUAAGUGUAUUAGGUUCAAAGUCUUCAAAUACGUUAUAUUAAUAUAUCAAAGUAAUACUCUGUUGCUCACAAGCUCAGAUCCGAGCCCACCAUGGCUUGCAUGGGCGCUUACAUGCUCUGCCCAUUCCAAUAGUUAGUCCAUUUAGUCCAAAUACAAUCUCAAAGCUUACACCCUUUCCUUUUUUUCAAUUUAGAAGAGCCUACCACUACAGAUUUGGAUAUUGGAUCGUACAAUAUAAUUAUGGAGCAAUAGUUACAACACCCAUUUGAAAUGGGAUUCAUCCACCUCCAAACCAAAGUUGCUGGUUAUUGAAGGAGAAGAACAGAGAGUUUCUCUAACAACCUCCAUCCAAUGCUUCCUGACAUAAGAUAUCUAUCUCUGUGCUGCUUCCUUAAUUUCAACCUGUUACAGUCCAUCUGCUUUUUCUUUUUCUUCUUUUGGUGUGGUCAGUGUGGGUUCUGGAAAUGAACAGCAGAGCUUUCACCUAAUUAAUACAUUUAGCUUGUGGUUUGGGUAUUUGAAACAGGGCAAUUUACAGAAUCCAAACCCAGUUGAAUGUAAAGCCAGGAAGUUGCUGCCAGACAAUAUGUUGUAUCUUCUGGUCAUGUGCCCUUUCAUGCUUCCUGCUGGUACAGGACAGAUCUGAUUUCAGGACAGAUUCGCCAAGGCCAUACAGUUUUUUAAGCACAACAAGGGCAUAGAAGGAAGAAGGCUUGCCAAAGGUUACGUACCCAUCAGUACUGAAGUUCUAACUCUGCAAGUGAAAGGAGACAAAAGCAAGCAUGUGCUAUUCGAUGCCUGUAGGCUUGCUAAGUCCCUACAACUCCUGGGGACAUAUGAGAAAUGGAGUCCAGAACAGAAAGGGCAUAUGAUAUGUGAUGUGUGGGUGGAGAUGCUGUGUUAUGCUGCAAGUCAGUGUCGAUGGAAUCUCCAUGCCAACUUGCCAAGCAGUUGAGACGAGGGGGAGAGCUGCUCACCCAUGUAUGGCUUCUGAUGGCUCCUUUUGUUAUAAGUGAACAUUUCAAGAUUUUACAAGCCCAUGACAACUUAUGAGAAUUUUUUCAAAUAUUAUUUUAAAAAAGGUUUUUUUUUAAUAAAAAAAAAUCAAAAAAAGAAAACAUAAAAAUAUACAUUUUAUUAGUCAUUUUGUUUUUACAUUGAACUUAUACUUUGAAAAGACAAGUUAAUUUUUUACAUUGAAUCUGGUCUUUUCAAAUAACAGUUCCAUAUGAAAUCCUAAAUUAAUUACUCUGACUAAAAUUGUACUAUCAAGUUUUACAAUGAAUACCUUUAUAAAUAUGCAUUAUCGAUCAACUUAAUAAAUUAACAAUUUUAAAUAAAUUGAUAUUUUUAAUAUGAUAUUGAAACUUAGUGAUGGUAUAUCCCUCUAAUUUUAUUAAAUUUACGUAUAAUCUCAAAUGAAGUAUCAGUAAAGCAUAGUAUUAGGGUUUUAAUAUAGGUUAAGAACAGACUGAGUGAUGGUGUAUCUAUUCCCUUGUUUUUAGCCAACCUUACUUUUUAUUACGCUUUAAUAUCUUAGCAUUGUAGUGUAGCAAAUACUAAUGAAAUUCAAAUACAGAAAAAUAUUUCAAAUUCAAUUGGAAUAUUUAAAAAAGACAGUAUUUUGUCAAAAUUCCAGCUUUCUAGGCCUAUCCCCUUGUCCAUUGGCCUUAUCCUUCAAUUAUUAUUAUUAUUUUUUCACAUGGAUUUACAACUAGUGCUACAAAGCUUUCCAAAGGCAUCAAAUGUACAAUCUUAUCUUCUAUUGUCAAGCUGAUUAGAAACACAUCAGCUGAAGUAUAGCUGCUUAAUUAUGGUCUGAACUGAUUUUCUUGAAGAUAUGUACAAGUUGGGUUCUACAUUCCCCAAAGAUCUCUGUUUUGCAUGAGCUUAAAAAUUGAACACUCUUGUUCUUUUAAAAAUGAUUUAUUUAGUUUUGAAAUUUAUAUCCUCCUUUAUUUCCUUCAAAAAUGUUGUUUCUCUCCCAUUCCUAAUCCAUUUCUCUCUCUCUCUCUCUCUCUCUCUCUCUCUAUUCAUGUUCUCUCUCCCUUCUCAAUCCAACCCCUACAACAAAAAUGUCAAAUUCCUUAUUUUUAUAUCUUCUUCAAGAGAUAAAAAUUUUGAUAAUGAAAUUUCAUGGAUAAAAACUCUCAUCCCUCACAUAUUUCACAAAUAAUUUGGUUGUUGGAAAUAUUUAAUUUUUAUGCUAAAUUUCUUCCUUUUUUUGCAUCUUCUACUUUUUCUAUUUAUAAAAUUCUUGUAUUACAUAAUUUACUAUUUGAGUUUCAAAUUAUUUUUAAAACCUAUUAAACUCGUUAAUGAAUCAAACACAUUAAAACUUUUUUAUUUGGAGUUUUUUUGCCUUAGUAAAAAGAAAUUUACAAAAAUAUCUUUAUACAUAAGGAAAAAACUAACAAAAUACCUUUAAAAUCCAUAACUUUCUAAUACUAACUCAAUCAGUUUUUUAGUUUAAUAAAUGUUAUGUAUCAAAUAUCACUAGAUUUGAAAUUUAUUUGUUUAAUCAAAAUAAUUUAAAGAUUCAAGUUAGAAGAAGUUCACAAAUCACGUAUAUUUAAGAAAAUAAAUCAUCAUUGAAAAUUUUUUAUAUUCAUUGAUGGAGAGAGAAUAAAUAUAAAAUAAAAUCGUGUCAUAAUUUAUUUGUUUCUGUGAUUUCUUUUCAUGCUAUUUUUCAUUUCUCAUAUUUUUCUUUAAAAAAAAAAGGUAAAAAUAACUUUUACUUAAUCUCUCAAAUUGUUCUUCAUUUCACUUUAUUUUUAAAAAUUGCUUUUACAGAACAACUUCCAAACUACUCAUAAAUUUUUAACAACAAAAAAUUGUUUUUAAAUCAUAUCAUCAACCAAGCUAUUGUACAUUCCCUUUUUUUUUCUUGUACAUCACCUUCUUAAUUUUAUUAUGGUUAUAUUUAAAUGGAAUCAAAAUAUGCAAUAAAUAAAAUAUAAGAGCAUUAAAUAAAGGAAAAUGAUCAAAGGAUGAAAAUAAAAAUAAGAAAAAAGAAAACCAAAAAUAAAAAUAAAAUAAUAAUGGUAAUAAUAAAAAAAAAUGUAAAUUCACAAAAACAAAAUUAGAAGUCUACAUUCUCCUCCGGUCAACCCAUGAAAAAUCACACAAUGCAAGCAUCAAGGAUCUAUUGCUACAUCAAUAUUAACUAAUUGUUAAUAAAUGAAAAUUGGUAACCAUCAAACCAUGAUAAAAUUAACUUAUACCUUUAUAUACAUCAUCAAUCCACCUAAUAAAUUAACAAUUUUAAAUAAAUUGAUAUUUUUAGUAUGAGAUUCAAAUAUAUAAAAAUAUUUCAACUUCAAUUAGAAUAUUUUUUUAAAAUAAUAACAAAAUUUUAAAAAUUUAAAAAAAAAAAACACCUUCUCCAUAUAAUUGUACAUAGCUCUAGUAUCUAAUGUUUACCUCUUCAACAAGGUGUUUUGAGUUUUAUACAGAGGAUUACAUAUAUUGCACCAGCUUCUUUAAUGUCCAAGAAACUCACUACCCAUUUCCCACCUUCUCUCUCUCAUGUGGAAACAAAGCCUUUCGACAUUGAAGACAUUUGUUUAUUUAAGUUGACUCCCUUGUGUUACAAGUCUUUCAAAAAGAACUAGCCUACCAGUGUUCCUCUUAGAAAAAUGGUGGAAGCAGUCCAUUGUCUCUCACAGACAAAAAGAAAAAGAAAAAGAAACUGAUGGUAUUGGGUGAUCAAUAUGUGGUGGUCACGGUAAGUUGGCUUUCAGAGGAAAAUACAUAUAUAAAGAGAGAGGAAAGGAGAAAAGACGUCAAGGGGGAAUGUUCUUAGAAAGAGAAGAUGAAGGUGGUGAGUAUGAAUUGGGUUGGAAAUUAAAAAGGAGAAUGAGAAUUUAAAUGAUCAGGGAAAGACUUAGAUUUACUUGUCAGUUCCCAGAUUUCCUUGCCAUUGUGAGUUUGUUACUAAGGCCGCCUCCACUCAGUCCUUUGCUGUUCGCGGCCGGCUUCAUCUUGGCAGUAUGAAAUGGCUAUUGAGUUUCGUCGGGGGCAUGGUCUCCUACAGCUUCCUGUAAGAACAAUGAAAAUUUGAUCAAGUCUGCAAUAUCAUCUCCCCUUUUGUGAUAUUUAUGCGUUAAUAAUUAUUUCGGUAGUUGUUUACUUUUAUUCAUCAUCCUCCAGCAUUAUAUUGAUAUUUUGCCUGAGCUUUUUCUUCUCUUUUUUUUUUCCCUUGGUUUAGUUUAUAUGUUCUUGUUCGGAUUGCAAAGAAAAAUCCACACGUCUUGAUAAUUAUUAAGAUAUGUCUUAAUUAAGAUUUGUGUGAAAGCCUUUCUGUUCCUUUCCCCGCAGGAAAAUGCUGGCUGCAUACUCUACAAGGAAGCAAAGGGAGGAGGCGUGGAGGAUGAUGGCAGAGGGUAGAAAUGAAGAAGCUAAGGAGAUGCGGCAUAGAAACACAACGAUGAAGAUGAACGACACACCAGACUGGGACACUAUAGAUCGAGACUGGGACGCUAUAGAUCGGGCGGAGGUAGAUGACUCACGAGAUUUGGUGAAGAUUGUCUUGUCGAGGGUCAUAGAGAAACUCUGUGUUGUGUGGAUUCAAGAACCAGCAGUUUUCGUUGGAGUUGAAGAAGAGGUCCAAUGGAUCCAAAGAGAGUUGAUGCACGCUCGGCUAAAAUAUAGUUAUGUCCCAGAGGAAUUAAUGGAUGUUGCCUAUGAUUUUGAAGAUGUGAUUGAUGACCUUAUACUCAGAUCAGUCGCAAAUCAAAGGAGAAUAGGAAACUGGGAGAGGUGGCUUUUGUUAAUAAGAAUUCACAAGAAGCUGGAAUUGAUCAUGUCUAAGAUCCCUGCUCUUCCUCAUCUCCCAUAUUGUAUCGAAGCAUGUAGUGCCUGCCCCUCUAACUACAGUAUUGAAGAAAUAGUCUGGUCAGACAUUUUCUUGAUACAUGGUCAGAGUGUGGCAAACAAGGUUGUUUCCCCAGUGGAAGAGAAGGUAUCAGCUCUGCUAGCUCAGGAGGCAAUUCAUCCCUAUACCAAGAAGAAGGCCAUGCGGGUACUAGACAAACUCAGGUCUCUGAAUGGUUUUCUCAAAGGCUUAGAAUCAGUAGAAUUAGAUGAUGGUGGAAUGGUUUGGAUGGAGGAGCUGUCCCAUGUUUGCCUGUCUGCUGUGGUAGCCAUUGAGGACUUCAUCAACAGAACACAACAGCUCACGAAAAGAAGUUGGAUGGGACCUUCCAAGGGAUUUCUUUCGGCUUUUGGCAAAUUGAAAUCCAAGGAUAAGCUUCCUGUAGAGAUGGACAAAAUAUAUGCCAAGAUCCAAAACCUCUCUAUCCACCGGCCAACAGCAGUCAACCCUCAAGGUCAAAGUAGGAACCCAAAUUAUACCUUGGGUUCUACCGAGCGAAUCCCACGGCAGCCAACAACGCAAGAACCUGAUCUCGCCAGCUUUGGUGAUGAUGUGCAUGCAAUGAUAGCACGGUUGCUUACAGAUGAUCAGAAUUUCAGAGUGAUUCCAAUUAUGGGUAUGCAAGGCAUUGGAAAGACAACCCUAGCAAAUUUGAUCUUUAACCAUAAAGCUGUCGUGGAUCAUUUCCCCUUUGCUGCUUGGAGGUCAGAUGGCUAUCGAUUUCAGCUACGUAACAAGGGAGAAUUGUUGCAGUCCGGUCGAAGUCAAUGCAGAGUGUGGAGUAAUCAAUACGAGAUGCAACGGUUGAUACCUUUCUUGAUUAAUGACAGGUCUCUGAUAGUUGUCGAUAAUUGGAAUUUCUUGGUCGACGACCUAGAAAUGCUUCCAGAUGCAUUAAAUGGCAGUAGAAUUAUUUUGACCACUUGCGAAACAAGGCUACCUCCAAAUCUCAAAAUGAAGAGUGAUCCUCACCCACUGCGGUUACGGACAAAUGAGGAGAGUUGGGCAUUGUUUACCCAUGCUUUGAAAUUUAGCAUACCCCCAGAAUUGCUAAAGCUGAAAGACGAAAUUGCAAAAAGAUGUG